rnacentral:rRNA from 1 species
ACUCAAAUGAAUUGACGGGGGCCCGCACAAGCGGCGGAGCAUGCGGAUUAAUUCGAUGCAACGCGAAGAACCUUACCAAGGCUUGACAUAUGCGGUCUAUCCCUAGAGAUAGGGAGUGCUUCGGCGCCGUAUACAGGUGGUGCAUGGUUGUCGUCAGCUCGUGUCGUGAGAUGUUGGGUUAAGUCCCGCAACGAGCGCAACCCUCGUUCUAUGUUGCCAGCGCGUAAUGGCGGGGACUCAUAGGAGACUGCCGGGGUCAACUCGGAGGAAGGUGGGGAUGACGUCAAAUCAUCAUGCCCCUUAUGUCUUGGGCUUCACGCAUGCUACAAUGGCCGGUACAAAGGGCUGCGAUACCGCAAGGUGGAGCGAAUCCCAAAAAGCCGGUCUCAGUUCGGAUUGAGGUCUGCAACUCGACCUCAUGAAGUCGGAGUCGCUAGUAAUCGCAGAUCAGCAACGCUGCGGUGAAUACGUUCCCGGGCCUUGUACACACCGCCCGU